UACGUAGGGGGCAAGCGUUGUCCGGAAUGAUUGGGCGUAAAGAGCGUGUAGGCGGUCCGGUAAGUCAGCUGUGAAAGUCAAGGGCUCAACCCUUGAAUGCCGGUUGAUACUGUCGGGCUAGAGUCCGGAAGAGGCGAGUGGAAUUCCCGGUGUAGCGGUGAAAUGCGCAGAUAUCGGGAGGAACACCUAUGGCGAAGGCAGCUCGCUGGGACGUUACUGACGCUGAGACGCGAAAGCGUGGGGAGCAAACAGG
rnacentral:rRNA from 1 species